CGCUCAUUCUGAAAAUCUUUUUAGUGGAUUUCAGAUACAAAUAAUGGUAUGUGAAAUCAGUAGAUUUAUAUCUGUCUGAAUUGCAAUGUGAAAUCACCUAAACAUAUCUUGUUAGCCUGUAGUUGUAUCUGAAGAGAAAUAUGAGUACCCAUUCCAUAAGCCACCAUACAAAUGUGCGGCACAAGUGAGGGCAAAGAAAGAGAAAUGCAUAAGAAACAAGAUUUGGAGUGAAUGGAGUGAACCAGUGUUUAUUGAUGCUGAAAAGACAGUGGACAUCACAUUGCUUAUCCUCACCUUGUUUUGCCUCCUGAUUUUCCUUGUAUGUUUGCUGACAUAUGCAUGUCGAAGGCACAGAUUCCUUGAAGCUAUGACCAUGCCUAUCCCACAGGCUUCAGACAGUAUCAAAACUUGGUUAGCUACAGAAGAGACUCACCACCAGAAACAUAUUUCAAUGCAAGUGGAAAUGCACUCAGAGACUGGGCUGGAAAUUACAGAGGAAAACUGUGACAUGAACGUUCAACAACAAAGACACUUGAUGAGAUCUGGAUCAGAAGACCUGUAACACCAAUAUGAUUUCUUUUCUGCAUGGAAAUUGUAAUUGUAAUAUUGCAUGGGAAUUGUAAUAUUCUAAGCAAGACUGAUACUGGAGUUUGCCUGAGCCCAACAAUCUGAUAUUAUGGAAAAUUUUUGAGCUCUGACAUUUUGCAACUCUUAGAAUGUGCUUUGGAACACAAAGGAAAAAGCAGCACUUUACAGGUUGUCUUUAACUACUACUGCUCUUCAGUCUMGUAAAAUUGCAGCAACUCAAAGCAUAUGAUAGGUUAUUGGGUCCUACUUGGGUCAAUAUAGAAUUAGUGUUCAUAAUACUGUUUCAUAAUACUGCAGUUGCUUCCAAAUAAUGUCCUCUAGAUCAAUGCCUUUGAAAACUGGCUGGUCUUACAAAUCUCAUAAUAACUACUCAAUAUCUGAUUUAAGUGGUCAGGAGAAAUGAUGGGAGCAACUGGUGUUUAUGGAAACAGCAGAAUAAGCUCACAAGGAUUUUCUAGAGCUCUGCAAAAAUCAUCUUCCGAGAUACUGCAAUGUGUCUGAAGACAACAACCAGAAAGAAAAGUCUUGUGUAAAGACACAGGGUCCUUUAAUGUGAUCACCAUAUUCCUGUGCAGUUAGCAAAAGGAGACAGCUUUAGACAGGGUGAAGAAAACAGAGAACAUUUUCUGUUGUACCCUAAUACUUUUUGAAACAGUCAGUAAAUAAGAUAUGCAUCUGUGCACAGGUUUGAUCCACCUGAAUAUGGGGGCUUUUUGGCAAAAUAUCUCCUUCAUCUCAGUGAAGAAGACUGCACUGUUCCUUCUUCCAUACCAAGAAUGGCUGAUAAGUUCUUAGAUCCCAGUCUGGAACUGCUUGGACAACGGAAGGACUGUCAUUGACUUCAUUUGCCAUAUGGUCAGGUUCAUGACCUCAGCAAAAGAAAUCAGCUUUACUAAGUAGUGUUAUAUUUCCUCUCAAUUUUAUUUUUUAUAGAAGGUGAGGGUGGCCUUGCUUAAGAACAUCAGUGUUAUUCC
rnacentral:lncRNA from 1 species